GAGUAAAUGUCGAAUCUUCUUGAUCAACGAUCUUCCCACCGGACUUCCUCUACUCAUGCCCCACAAGACAAUUAACCAUUACCAAGGAGUCCACGUUUAGUUCCACCGUCUGGAAUCUCAACCUUUUACCAUACUUGAGGCCUUCACACACUCCUCCAAAACCAUAAACAAUGACACGCCAUUGCUAAAAAAAGAAAUUCAUUACUAUAAUUUACCCUGAUUUUU
rnacentral:lncRNA from 1 species